rnacentral:rRNA from 1 species
CCUACGGGAGGCAGCAGUGAGGAAUAUUGGUCAAUGGACGCAAGCCUGAACCAGCCAUGUAGCGUGAAGGAUGACUGCCCUACGGGUUGUAAACUUCUUUUGUAAAGGAAUAAAGUCAGGCACGUGUGCCUUUUUGUAUGUACUUUAUGAAUAAGGAUCGGCUAACUCCGUGCCAGCAGCCGCGGUAAUACGGAGGAUCCGAGCGUUAUCCGGAUUUAUUGGGUUUAAAGGGAGCGUAGAUGGGUUGUUAAGUCAGUGGUGAAAUUUUGCGGCUCAACCUUAAAAUUGCAAUUGAUACUGGAAGGCUUGAGUGCAGUUGAGGUAGGCGGAAUGCGUGGUGUAGCGGUGAAAUGCUUAGAUAUCACGCAGAACACCGAUUGCGAAGGCAGCUUACUAAACUGCGACUGACAUUGAGGCUCGAAAGUGUGGGUAUCAAACAGGAUUAGAUACCCUUGUAGUC